rnacentral:rRNA from 1 species
GAGUUUGAUCAUGGCUCAGAUUGAACGCUGGCGGCAUGCCUUACACAUGCAAGUCGAACGGCAGCAUGAUCUAGCUUGCUAGAUUGAUGGCGAGUGGCGAACGGGUGAGUAAUACAUCGGAACGUGCCCUGUAGUGGGGGAGUAACUAGUCGAAAGAUUAGCUAAUACCGCAUACGACCUGAGGGUGAAGUGGGGACCGCAAGGCCUCAUGCUAUAGGAGCGGCCGAUGUCUGAUUAGCUAGUUGGUGGGGUAAAGGCCCACCAAGGCGACGAUCAGUAGCUGGUCUGAGAGGACGAUCAGCCACACUGGGACUGAGACACGGCCCAGACUCCUACGGGAGGCAGCAGUGGGGAAUUUUGGACAAUGGGCGAAAGCCUGAUCCAGCAAUGCCGCGUGUGUGAAGAAGGCCUGG